rnacentral:misc_RNA from 1 species
GAUGAAGAACGUAGCGAAAUGCGAUAAGUAAUGUGAAUUGCAGAAUUCAGUGAAUCAUCGAAUCUUUGAACGCACAUUGCGCCCCCUGGUAUUCCGGGGGGCAUGCCUGUUCGAGCGUCAUUACAACCCUCAAGCUCUGCUUGGUGUUGGGCCCCGCCGCCCCGGCGGGCCCUAAAAUCAGUGGCGGUGCCGUCCGGCUCCGAGCGUAGUAAUUCUUCUCGCUCUGGAGGUCCGGGUGUGUGCUCGCCAGCAACCCCCAAUUUUUUAAGGUUGACCUCGGAUCAGGUAGGGAUACCCGCUGAACUUAAGCAUAUCAAUAAGCGGAGGA